rnacentral:rRNA from 1 species
AGUGAACGCUGGCGGUAGGCCUAACACAUGCAAGUCGAACGGCAGCACAGUAAGAGCUUGCUCUUACGGGUGGCGAGUGGCGGACGGGUGAGGAAUACAUCGGAAUCUACUUUUCGUGGGGGAUAACGUAGGGAAACUUACGCUAAUACCGCAUACGACCUACGGGUGAAAGCAGGGGAUCUUCGGACCUUGCGCGAUUGAAUGAGCCGAUGUCGGAUUAGCUAGUUGGCGGGGUAAAGGCCCACCAAGGCGACGAUCCGUAGCUGGUCUGAGAGGAUGAUCAGCCACACUGGAACUGAGACACGGUCCAGACUCCGACGGGAGGCAGCAGUGGGGAAUAUUGGACAAUGGGCGCAAACCUGAUCCAGCCAUACCGCGUGGGUGAAGAAGGCCUUCGGGUUGUAAAGCCCUUUUGUUGGGAAAGAAAAGCAGCAGGUUAAUACCCCGCUGUUCUGACGGUACCCAAAGAAUAAGCACCGGCUAACUUCGUG